UACAUUUUGGUGUAGGAUGCACAAAAAUUUUUGAUAUUUUGAGAUUACAGUUUAAUUUCUGUUAAAUGUAG
rnacentral:tRNA from 1 species